CUACGGGUCGCUGCAGUAAGGAAUAUUGGUCAAUGGACGCAAGUCUGAACCAGCCAUGCCGCGUGAAGGAUUAAGGUCCUCUGGAUUGUAAACUUCUUUUAUAUGGGACGAAAAAAGGUCUUUCUAGACCCCUUGACGGUACCAUAUGAAUAAGCACCGGCUAACUGCGUGCCAGCAGCCGCGGUAAUACGGAGGGUGCAAGCGUUAUCCGGAUUCACUGGGUUUAAAGGGUGCGUAGGCGGGUAGGUAAGUCAGUGGUGAAAUCCUGGAGCUCAACUCCAGAACUGCCAUUGAUACUAUCUAUCUUGAAUAUUGUGGAGGUAAGCGGAAUAUGUCAUGUAGCGGUGAAAUGCUUAGAUAUGACAUAGAACACCCAUUGCGAAGGCAGCUUACUACGCAUAUAUUGACGCUGAGGCACGAAAGCGUGGGGAUCAAACAGGAUUAGAUACCCUAGUAGUC
rnacentral:rRNA from 1 species